rnacentral:tRNA from 1 species
GAGGGUGUAGCUCAAGUGGUAGAGUACAUGUUUAGCAUGCAUGAGGCCCUGUGUUCAAUCCUCAGUACCUUCU